GAUUCGGCGAAAUAUUACCCUCAGUGAUGAUAUUUAUCUUAAAUAUCAUCACUUCGGGUAAUAUUUCGCCGAAU